rnacentral:rRNA from 1 species
AAUCAUUAGCCUCUUAAUUAGAGGCUGGAAUGAAUGGUUUAACAUUUCCCCAACUUUUUUAAAAAUUUUAAACAAAUUUAUAUUAAAUAUAAAAAUAUAUUUAUAUAUUAACUAGACGACAAGACCCUUUCAAACUUUACUGAAGUUUAGCUGGGGUAGCUAAAUAAUUAAUAUCUUAUUAUUUUUCUAAAAAUAGACCCAAUUCAAAUUGAUUAAAUGAACAAGUUACUGAAGGGAUAACAGCAUAAUAAAUUUAUAUAGCUCUUAUUAAAAAAUUAGUUUAUGACCUCGAUGUUGAAUUAUUUUACUCCCACACGCAAGAGUGUGGAAAGUAGGUCUGUUCGACCUUUGAAUUUU